GACGAACGCUGGCGGCGUGCCUAAUACAUGCAAGUCGAACGCAGUGGGGACGGGUGAGUAACACGUGGGUCACCUCCCAUCAGAGGGGAUAACACUUGGAAACAGGUGCUAAACAGAUACUGCUGGAUGGACCCGGGGUGCAUUGGAUCGUUGGGGGGGUAACGGCUCACCAAGGCCACGAUGCAGAGCCGACCUGAGAGGGGGAUAGGCCACACUGGGACUGAGACACGGCCCAGACUCCUACGGGAGGCAGCAGUAGGGAAUCUUCGGCAAUGGACGAAAGUCUGACCGAGCAACGCCGCGUGAGUGAAGAAGGUUUUCGGAUCGUAAAACUCUGUUGUUAGAGAAGCGGUAUCUAACCAGAAAGCCACGGCUAACUACGUGCCAGCAGCCGCGGUAAUUC
rnacentral:rRNA from 1 species